rnacentral:rRNA from 1 species
GUAGGUGGCAAGCGUUGUCCGGAAUUAUUGGGCGUAAAGCGCGCGCAGGCGGUCCUUUAAGUCUGAUGUGAAAGCCCACGGCUCAACCGUGGAGGGUCAUUGGAAACUGGGGGACUUGAGUACAGAAGAGGAAAGCGGAAUUCCAAGUGUAGCGGUGAAAUGCGUAGAGAUUUGGAGGAACACCAGUGGCGAAGGCGGCUUUCUGGUCUGUAACUGACGCUGAGGCGCGAAAGCGUGGGGAGCAAACAGGGAUUAGAUACCCUGGUAGUCCACGCCGUAAACGAUGAGUGCUAAGUGUUAGGGGGGUUUUCCGCCCCCUUAGUGCUGCAGCUAACGCAUUAAGCACUCCGCCUGGGGAUACGGCCGCAAGGCUG